GCUGCCGUCAGAGCUGCCUGCGUCAAUGCUGCUUGGUGACACACACAGCUUUUUUUCUUCUGCUCCUUUUUCUCAAUGAGAGGAGCCUAAUGGGAUUCUUAUUAUCAGACUCAUAAAUCAAACCGUUAGGCCGUCACGUCUGGCACGUGGACAACACCCCCAUCCCCCGCGGCAAACGGAGAGGGCUAGAGCUGCGUUUUCCCCUUUUCAAGAAAAACUUCAAAUAUUUUAUCUUUAUAUUUUGAAAAUCGCAGUAAUGCACAGAGCUCGGCUUGCUGUGGCUGGUGCAGCUCUACACGGAUGCAGAGCUGGUCCUCCCGUUCCCUGGAAAUGGUUUUGCAAAGUUGUUGGUUUUGCAAACAAUAAAAGGGUAAAAAAUGGGGUUUGCAGGCAAAUCGGUUGGUUAGAGGGAACCCACAGAUAUUUCAAGCUACUGCAACACGAAUCGAUUAAACAUUGUAUCAGAGGGGGUUGUGGGCACAGACUUUGGGGCAGCCCUGCCCUGAUGCUUGUGCAACUGACACAAAACAAAACCCCAGCUAUGAAUGCAAAUCAAGGAGCAAAGACGUCAGCAACUAAGGCGAUCUGGAGCGCUAGGAAUCCUGAAAGCUUCUGCAUUCUCAUAGCUACUUGCAUGCAGAUUUCUAAUAAGAUAAAUCGGCACUGGUGUAUCUAAUUAAUGGUUGUCCUCCAACAAGCCACUGGAUAGCACUUAUUAGCCAUGGGAGGUAGGAAGCCAGGUUAACCCCCAAAGGAAUCUCAGUGCAGCCCCUUCCUCAUUUUGGUCAGAGACUCAACCAGAGUGUGGAAGCGGAGCAAAGUCAAAAGGGGUCCAGGGACUAAGGCGUUGAGGCAAGGACCCUCAGAGAGGGAGGUCCCAGCUUCCACAGUCGGACACAGAAAAAUAUUCCACUCUUGGGAAUUGCCUCUUGUGCGAAGCCAUAUAUAUUUAGGGGUCUUCUACAGGGAACUGUGAAAGGUCUGCAAGCCCGUCAUCUGGUCACUCUGAAGCCAGGUCUCCAGAGCUUCCCUGAUGAAAUUGUCCUGCCUGUGAUGGGGGAGUGUUCUCGGAACCUUUGGGACAGCCUCUGCUGGCUCAGAUCAAAACUUCACAGAGCUCAAGGCAUGGUCUUCAAUUAAAAGCUUGGACCACAUGUCAGCCUGUGUUCUGCAUUUCCCCAGAUGUCUUCAAAGGACAUAUAUGACGCCCAGGAGCAGAGUUGUUGGGUCUGUUCUUUCUAAUUCCAGACCUUUCUGGUCUUGAGUCGUGGUUUUCUUAGGGUCCAGUGAAAACAGCAGCGCUUGGAGCUGCAGACCCAGGCUGGGAGCUGCCGCGGGGGCGCACGUGUCUGCCUGUAGCCACAGCCUAGGAUCAUUGCCCUGCACAGUUGGACGGCUUCCACGCCUCGUCUAGUUCUCACUGCAUUCUUAUAGCAGGACAAGUUCUCUGGAUUUGUGUGAACUUUUUAAAUAAGAGUUAAUAAGUCAAUGAUUGCCAGAUGAGAGAGGCAGCUCAUGUGUUUUUAAGAAGCAUCAAACCCACCCCCCACCCCCCAUAUUCUUCCACCCCAGCAAAGAAGGAGCCAGGAAGGCACUGCAAGGGGGAAGCGGGGGCGGGGGGGGGGAGGGCAGGGAGGAUCCCUGAGAAAAAAAGAUGAAUAUUUGCAUCUUCACUUGUGUGCCUCAUUUGGGGUGACCCAUGGGUGCAAAGGAUGAUGUAUUUUAUACUGAACAUGGUACUGGCAAUUUUGGGUGCGCAAUGAAAAAGAAAUGGGCAUGAGCAUAUCUAGCUUUAAGACACGAUUUCAAAUAUAACUUCCGUCAUUCACGUCUAGACCCAUAUUCUGAUAUGAGUAAUAACUAUGCUAAGCAAAAGUAGAUUAGGUGCAAUAAAUAUAAGACCUGUAUUCCUAUGCUGACUGAUGGACUUCAGUGGAAUAUUUCAUUUUAGCAACCGAUAUAUUGCAUAAAUGAGUUAACAUUGGUCCCAUUGCAAAACGAUUUUUUAUACAAAAUUAGAG
rnacentral:lncRNA from 1 species